rnacentral:lncRNA from 1 species
GGCAUGUGGGCUAGGGAUGGGUACUUGAGCAGAAGCCAGCAACUUGAAUGAAGAGUCUGUGCAGGAGUUACCUGCAGUGUCGGAAAUGACUGUCCUGUAUGCUCAACAAGAAUAUGGAAGUGCUGGAAGACAAUUUUCCGUUGAUCUCUUGCAUAUCUGCACAUGUUGCAACUCAUUUAUGGAAAGUCAUCCAUUUGUUGAGACCAGCCCAAAAGACCCUCAGGAACUUAGAAUAUUCCUACCGACUUUGAAGACCAUAGCCCCAAAGCUGAGCUGUGAAAUGGAGCAGCAAAGAAGAGUAGCAUUGUCAAAGCUCAAGUUCCAUCAGAAUGAUAAAGUAGGCAGAAAGUGUUUUGGGGGCCACCACUGCCUUCUCUUUCUGCACUAUCUCCUACCUCCCUUCCCUCCCAAGUGCCCAGGGUCCUAG